rnacentral:tRNA from 1 species
GACUGUGUAGUCAAAAGGCUAAGGCUCCGGGCUGCAACCCCGGGAAUGCAGGUUCGACUCCUGCCACAGUCUCCA